UUUGCAUCUUCACAACUAAUCUUUUGUAGUACCUGAUGAAUCCGCAAUGCAUAAAAGUAAAUGAAACAUGUCCGAAUACAGUUGUAAGUAAUUUUCUUUGAACAGAAAUAAAAUCCCCAACUUGCACUAUGGUUCCAAACUUAGAAGUCGCAAAGAGGAAGAUUUUGGCCCAAUCUUCCACCUCAUAUGCUAAACUGAUUCGAGUAGGAACUGAAAUACUGUAUCUUUAGCGCAAUCAACAGCCGAUACCAAAAAUCUUGAAGGAUGGACUGAUUGAAGGGAAUACUUUUAGGAGCUAAUGUGGAUAUCAGAGUUAGGCAAUGGCUCCUACACGUGACUGGCAAUUCCUGCAAUGCAGUUAUAUUCAAGUCAAGGUCCAGAUAAAAAACUUGAACACUACCAGGAUAAGAAGGUGCUAAUGAUCAAAAAUAAAAGGUGCUAAUGAACUAAAAUAACAGAAGGUGCAAAGGUUUCAUGUUUCUGAACUAAAACGCAAAAGUUGACGCAGCCGUUUUCAGCCCCGGCAUUAAUGCAAACACUUGUUGGGCGCACAUACAGCGCAUUUGAUUACCUGAGUCAAUACGCCCGCACAUCACACAUGCCUGCAGGCCGGCCGGCCG
rnacentral:lncRNA from 1 species